ACCCAUAUAUUCCAAUGGACAGGAUAUCUGGCUUUCAUCCAGAAGGUCUGGGUUCAAUUCCCAGUAAGGGUU
rnacentral:tRNA from 1 species